GAUGAACGCUGACAGAAUGCUUAACACAUGCAAGUCAACCUGAAUUUGGGUUUUUAACUUAGGUUUGGGUGGCGGACGGGUGAGUAACGCGUAAAGAACUUGCCUCACAGCUAGGGACAACAUUUGGAAACGAAUGCUAAUACCUAAUAUUAUGAUAAUAGGUCAUCCUAUAAUUAUGAAAGCUAUAAGCGCUGUGAGAGAGCUUUGCGUCCCAUUAGCUAGUUGGAGAGGUAACGGCUCACCAAGGCGAUGAUGGGUAGCCGGCCUGAGAGGGUGAUCGGCCACAAGGGGACUGAGACACGGCCCUUACUCCUACGGGAGGCAGCAGUGGGGAAUAUUGGACAAUGGACCGAGAGUCUGAUCCAGCAAUUCUGUGUGCACGAUGAAGUUUUUCGGAAUGUAAAGUGCUUUCAGUUGGGAAGAAACAAAUGACGGUACCAACAGAAGAAGUGACGGCUAAAUACGUG
rnacentral:rRNA from 1 species